GGUGGGGUGGCCGAGUGGUUUAAGGCGCCGGUCUCGAAAACCGGUUGGGGAGAAAUCCUCUCGCGAGUUCAAAUCUCGCCCCCACCG
rnacentral:tRNA from 1 species